UACUCCUACGGGAGGCAGCAGUGAGGAAUAUUGGUCAAUGGGCGAGAGCCUGAACCAGCCAAGUAGCGUGCAGGAAGACGGCCCUAUGGGUUGUAAACUGCUUUUAUAGGGGAAUAAAGUGAGCCACGUGUGGCUUUUUGCAUGUACCCUAUGAAUAAGGACCGGCUAAUUCCGUGCCAGCGAGCCGCGGUAAUA
rnacentral:rRNA from 1 species